CCCUAAUACUAACUGUUCUUUGAACCCACAGGCUCUCCUAUUUAUCUUAGAUUCAAUUGUCUUGUGGCACCAACAUUUAGGUCAUGCUUCAUUUCUCAUUAUUCAGCAUAAUUUAUCUUUCAGUGUUUUUUUAAAUAAACAUCAUGCUACCCAUGUCUGUUCAGCAUGUCAGAUGAGUAAGAUUGUAAACUGCUCUUUUCCACCUACCAUGAAUAAAAGUUCUAUAUUAUUUGAAUUUGUGCAUAUAGACAUUUGGG
rnacentral:lncRNA from 1 species